rnacentral:rRNA from 1 species
AGAGUUUGAUCCUGGCUCAGGACGAACGCUGGCGGCGGGCUUAACACAUGCAAGUCGAAGGAGAAGGUAAUUGCUUGCAAUUACCGGAGACUGGCGAACGGGUGAGUAACGCGUAGAUAACCUGCCUUUAUCUGGGGGAUAACACUGCGAAAGUGGUGCUAAUACCGCAUAAUGCAGCGGGGCCGCAUGGCCACAGUUGUUAAAGCCUUCGGGCGGGUAAAGAUGGGUCUGCGUGCUAUUAGCUAGUUGGUGCGGUAAUGGCGCACCAAGGCGAUGAUAGCUAGGGGGUCUGAGAGGAUGAUCCCCCACACUGGGACUGAGACACGGCCCAGACCUCUACGGAGGGCAGCAGUGAGGAAUCUUGCGCAAUGGGCGAAAGCCUGACGCAGCCACGCCGCGUGUCGGAAGACGGCCCUAUGGGUUGUAAACGACUUUUACCAGGGAAGAACCGGUGGGUUUCGAUCCGCUUUGACGGUACCUGGUGAAUAAGCACCGGCUAACUCCGUGCCAGCAGCCGCGGUAAUACGGAGGGUGCAAGCGUUGUCCGGAAUCAUUGGGUGUAAAGGGUGCGUAGGCGGAUGUUUAAGUCUGAGGUGAAAUCUUGCCGCUUAACGGUAAAAUGGCCUUGGAUACUGGGCAUCUUGAGUGUAGAAGAGGCAGGUGGAAUUCGUAGUGUAGCGGUGAAAUGCAUAGAUAUUACGAAGAACAUCAGUGGCGAA